CAGCAGCCACGGUAAAACGUAGGGUGCAAGCGUUAAUCGGAAUUACUGGGCGUAAAGCGUGCGCAGGCGGUUAUAUAAGACAGAUGUGAAAUCCCCGGGCUCAACCUGGGAACUGCAUUUGUGACUGUAUAGCUAGAGUACGGCAGAGGGGGAUGGAAUUCCGCGUGUAGCAGUGAAAUGCGUAGAUAUGCGGAGGAACACCGAUGGCGAAGGCAAUCCCCUGGGCCUGUACUGACGCUCAUGCACGAAAGCGUGGGGAGCAAACAGGAUUAGAUACCCGCGUAGUCCCUGUCUCUUAUAC
rnacentral:rRNA from 1 species